AUGCCUCAGUACCAAAGUCAUGCACGGUAUCAUGAACGAACAGAACAAUACUGCUUGCACGUUUAUAGCAUUCUACUGAUGGAAAAGUAUUUUGUUACAGGCGUGAUUCUCUUAACCCUUUCAGCAAAACUGCCCAGCCAGCCCCUGGCCCCGGCCGCGCCUCGCACGCGCUGGAGCUGCAGCUGCUGUGCAGACGCCCUUCCGCUGCGAGGGUGCGGCAGUCUCGGACCGAGCGCCUCCAGUCCUGCAGGAGGCGAACUCGGGCUUCCCCGGACUUCCCUGGGAGGCGUCCUUGGGAACGCGCGCCCGGCGAGUCCCUGCCGGCGGGGACCCGAGGUCUGCGACCUCGGCCGACCUGAUCUCAGGCGCAGCAGCGCAGACCUGGCCGCCGUAUCCCCUCUGGCUGGGAUGCGGACCCACGCGGGAAAGGCUGAAAGGCGGCGAGGCGGCGGGAGGGAGCGUGUGAAUUCACCCUGGAUCCUCGCGGGCGGUGCGAGCGACGCGACCUGGACGCCUCUCCUGGAUAUUGUAAAUAGAUCUGCUUGUGAGGCUCACGACUGGGAGCCUGUCACUCUGCCCCAGUUCGACCCGGCCCCGGCGCCCGCCCGCGUCCUGCGGAGGUCCCUGAGCCCGCGCGCGGCUGCAGGAGUCUCGGGGCCGCAUCCCGGGCCAGCGCGGGCGGCGGGAGAGCGUUGUCUGUGAACGGCCCAGGGUACAUUCCUUCUGUGGGGAAGAGUUCCUUAGAGUUCAGCAGGAAUUAUCAGUACAUUGAUGAGUAGAGCCUGUGAGAGAUGUGCAGCGUGAGAAAGCCAGCUCUUCCAAUGCGUGUCAGUGUGCUAAUGCCAUCUCAUGGAACAGAAAUUUGGCGGAUAUACUCCUGGAGAUCAAGUUUGGCGGAUCAAAAUUCUGUGAUCUGUUUUGAUGGUAGUGCACUAGUCAUCCAGUCUCCGUUCACGUUUGCAAGAAAUCCGUGUAAUUUUUUUUGCAUUUUAAUAAAGGACUCAAUUUGCAUACA
rnacentral:lncRNA from 1 species